rnacentral:rRNA from 1 species
AUUGUAGCACGUGUGUAGCCCUACUCGUCAGGGCCAUGAUGACUUGACGUCAUCCCCACCUUCCUCCGGUUUAUCACCGGCAGUCUCCCUUGAGUUCCCACCAUAACGUGCUGGCAACAAAGGAUAAGGGUUGCGCUCGUUGCGGGACUUAACCCAACAUUUCACAACACGAGCUGACGACAGCCAUGCAGCACCUGUCUCACGGUUCCCGAAGGCACUUCCGCAUCUCUGCAGAAUUCCGUGGAUGUCAAGAGUAGGUAAGGUUCUUCGCGUUGCAUCGAAUUAAACCACAUGCUCCACCGCUUGUGCGGGCCCCCGU